rnacentral:rRNA from 1 species
ACGGAAGGCAGCAGUGGGGAAUAUUGCACAAUGGGGGAAACCCUGAUGCAGCGACGCCGCGUGGAGGAAGAAGUAUUUCGGUACGUAAACUCCUAUCAGCAGGGAAGAAAAUGACGGUACCUGACUAAGAAGCCCCGGCUAACUACGUGCCAGCAGCCGCGGUAAUACGUAGGGGGCAAGCGUUAUCCGGAUUCACUGGGUGUAAAGGGAGCGUAGACGGCAUGGCAAGCCUGAUGUGAAAACCCGCAGCUCAACUGCGGGCCUGCAUUGGGAACUGUCAAGCUAGAGUACUGGAUGGGCAGGCGGAAUUCCUGGUGUAGCGGUGGAAUGCGUAGAUAUCAGGAGGAACACCGGUGGCGAAGGCGGCCUGCUGGACAGAUACUGACGUUGAGGCUCGAAAGCGUGGGGAGCAAACAGGAUUAGAUACCCUGGUA